rnacentral:rRNA from 1 species
UGGGGAAUCUUCCGCAAUGGACGCAAGUCUGACGGAGCAACGCCGCGUGAGUGAAGACGGCCUUCGGGUUGUAAAGCUCUGUUAUUCGGGAAGAACGAUUCGUUUGUGAACAAUGAACGGAAGUGACGGUACCGAAAGAGAAAGCCACGGCUAACUACGUGCCAGCAGCCGCGGUAAUACGUAGGUGGCAAGCGUUGUCCGGAAUUAUUGGGCGUAAAGAGCGCGUAGGCGGUAUGGUAAGUCUGUCUUAGAAGUGCGGGGCUUAACCCCGUGAGGGGACAGAGACUGUCAUACUGGAGUCUCGGAGAGGAAAGCGGAAUUCCUGGUGUGGCGGUGAAAUGCGUAGAGAUUAGGAAGAACACCGGUGGCGAAGGCGGCUUUCUGGACGAGCUCUGACGCUGAGGCGCGAAAGCGUGGGGAGCGAACAGG